rnacentral:rRNA from 1 species
UACGAAGGGGGCGAGCGUUGUUCGGAUUUACUGGGCGUAAAGGGCGCGCAGGCGGUUCUGUUUGUCGAGUGUGAAAGCCCCGGGCUCAACCUGGGAACUGCGCUCGAAACGGCGGAACUAGAGUUCGGGAGAGGAGAGUGGAAUUCCCAGUGUAGAGGUGAAAUUCGUAGAUAUUCGGAAGAACACCAGUGGCGAAGGCGGCUCACUGGACCGGUAUUGACGCUGAGGUGCGAAAGCGUGGGGAGCAAACAGGAU